AAAAACUUCAGCCAUGGCCAGCACGGAGCCUCUUCGGCAGAGUACUUACUAGAGUCCGGCUACGCUGUGAUCUUCCUGCACAGACACCGCUCCUUAUAUCCCUUCACUCUGGGAUUAAUCUGCCGGACAGCCUGCUGCUGGACAAUAGAGAGGAGGGUUCUGGCUGUGGCCAAGUCAUGGUCAACCAGCAGGCACUUCCCAACAUUGGCAAAGUCCUGAUGCGUUACCAGGAGGUAAAAGAGGCACGGCUUCUUCUGCCUGUGGAGUUCCUGCACCACCUCAAAGCUGCAGCACAGGCACUCAGACCCAUAGGGUCCAGGGCCAUGUUAUAUUUGGCUGCAGCAGUGUCAGAUUUUUACAUUCCAGCAUCAGAAAUGCCAGAGCACAAAAUCCAGUCCUCCAAUUGACCACUUUAGAUCAGUAUGAAGAUGGUCCCCAAGAUGUUGUCGCCGCUGGUGGACUGGGCUCCACAGGCAUUUGGGAUUUCCUUCAAGCUGGAGAUGGACCCGUCCAUCCUGCUGGACAGAGCUCGGCGGGCACUGGACAACAGGCUGUGGUGGCCAGCGUACUGGACACCAGACGAGGUUAUGUAGUGUACACUCAGGCCAAGCUAGUACUUACGGAUGAGGAAGCAAGCAGAGAUGUGGAGAUCGAGGACAGUAUUGUCAGUAACCUGACCAGAGCUCACGGCCAAAUCAUAACCCAACAAGACUGAGACCCCAGAGGUGUUUUCAUUAGUUGCAAUGAAAACUUCACUCCAAACAGAAAACGUUAUGCAACAAAAACAAGUUACAACUGGACAAAUUCAUGGACGUCCCUCCCCGUUUAAUAUGUUUGCUUCCUAGAGUAAGAUCGCUUCUCACAGAAUCUGACUAAUGAAUACACUCCAGUAAACUGUGCUGCUUACUGGGAGGGCUGGCUUUGGUGGUCCGAUGAAACACACUAACGUGACGUACAAGUCCCCGGGGCAGGGCACGAGCUCGACUUUCUUCUGAAAUCUUAAUUCAUGCUUGUCUAGUUUGGAUCUUUAUUUUAUCUUGCAGGGCUUUCACCGUCCUAGAUCAGACAUUCAUGUGCAUGCAUAUGUAGGUUUCAGUACACACUCUGCCUUUAAAAUCAAAUAUUUACAUAAUCACAGAAAAACAAUCCUUGAUCACCUUAACUUUAAGUAUCAUACCAUCUUAUGUCACAAGGCAGAUUACUUAACCUCAUAGCAGUUUGUCAGAGUAAUAUCACAGACAGUACAUCAGUAAAGUAACAGACUCUGAACAUUAAACCUGAACUGUAUGUUGGUAUUUUAUGUACUGGACAAAUCACAAAUCUACUCCAGAGGAAACUGGCAACAGUCUUCCUUGAAGGCAUGACACCCCAUACAGCUAGCUAUCAGUGAUUGUGUAAUUUACUUGCAAAUGUGUGGAAACGGUUUGGUUGGUUAUUUGAGUUUGACACUAAGUCCAGCACAGCUCUCCACUGUAUCUUGUCUCCUCACAACAGACUUCACGAACCUGGAAUACAUUCAAGAUUUUAAUGUAGGUUUUUUUUCAAAAAUAUACUUGGAAUUCAAUUUUAUCCAUAAUUGACACUAGUUAAAUUAUACAAGUUGUCAAUUUUGCUAUCAAAUACUGUAUAUCAUAUCAGCAUACACACUACAAAGCAGGAUCAAGGAGUUAGCCAGAUAACUUGCCUCAAUAUUCUGAACUAAUAAAUAACUAAGCUUGAAAUGGGCUAUGGUCUAAUUAACUCAACCUAAGUUUAUUUUUCUAAAUUAUUCAGAAAAUCAACAGUUAUUUCUGGUUUUUAAUCAAAGUAAGCUGGCUAACUCAUUGGUUCUGCUUUGUAGUAUACCUCUCAGAUGUUUCUGCAGGAGGUGUAAGUAAUGCCUGCAAAACACUUCUCAUACAUUGGAUUUGUAUACAUUUUAUACACUGCAACUUCAAGUUUCAAAUGUAGUCUACAAACUGGUCCCUUUAUGCGGAUCUUGGCUCGUCUGAAAUUCUCUGACUGGGAUUGCGGUCAGUCUUCUUUCUCUUCGGUGUAAACCCUUGGUUCUUGGCCAUUAGCGGAAAGGGUCGAGCAGCAUGUACAAAUUAGACAAAAGGUUUAAACCGGGAAGGGAAUACUCUAACAUAAAGUACUAGAAUAAUCUGAUGAAGGUCAUGAUUUGAAGUACUGGGUGAAAAUGUUUUAAUAUUGUGCUUUGUACAAUGAUUAUGGAAACAAGAGACAUGGUAACAAGUAAAUAUUGUACAUGAAGGCUAAGCUGUACAAUAAAUAAUUACUGCUGUA